rnacentral:rRNA from 1 species
UAUACAAUUUAACCCUGGUUGAAGUUGAAAUAUAUCUAAUGAUGCUAUAUACGUUUAUUAUAUUAUGCUAAUCCUUGAGCAUAUAAAUUUGAGGUGGUUGUAGUAGUGAGAUCUAUCGUUAUAAAGAAAUUUAGUGAUGGUUGUUAGAUAGAAGAAGAGGCUAAAGCACAGUGCCAGCAGCCGCGGUUAUACUGUAAUUCUUCUUAUUUCUUUUUUGGUUAAAACUUUUAUUGAAAUUUAAAUAAAAUUGGUUGGUUAAAUAGGUUUUUUUUUGAGAAUACUUCAAUGAUGUGUAAAGUUCCAGUAUAAAGACAGGGAUUAGAUACCCCUUUAUUAGGAUAAAAAAUUUUUGUCCACGGUUUCAAACUGAAAGGGUUUGGCAGCAAACUAAAUUCUUCCGGGGGAAGGUGCUUAUUAAAGAGAUGAUCCGCUUAUUAAUUUACUAUAUCUAGUGUUAGUGUAUAUCCGUUUGUAUAUUCACGCUUAGAGGUCAUAAGUGGGUAAAUAUUAAAUAAUU